rnacentral:rRNA from 1 species
UACGUAGGUGGCAAGCGUUGUCCGGAAUUAUUGGGCGUAAAGCGCGCGCAGGCGGUCCUUUAAGUCUGAUGUGAAAGCCCACGGCUCAACCGUGGAGGGUCAUUGGAAACUGGGGGACUUGAGUGCAGGAGAGAAGAGUGGAAUUCCACGUGUAGCGGUGAAAUGCGUAGAGAUGUGGAGGAACACCAGUGGCGAAGGCGGCAUCCUGGACCGAUAUUGACGCUGAGGAGCGAAAGCCAGGGGAGCAAACGGG